rnacentral:misc_RNA from 1 species
GUGAAUCAUCAAAUUUUUGAACGCAAAUUGCACUCUCCUCGGAGAGUAUGCCUGUUUGAGGGUGAGCCUAUAAAAAAUCGCCAUCUUUGCUGUUUCGCGGUGGCAAUCGUCGGAAAUUGGGACAUCUUAAAUCUUUUGGUUUUAAUCGCCAUAACAUUUUCUUUUUGUUUCCAUGAACGUUUCUAAGAUUUAUUACUUUACACGUUUAAGGUAUCGAUUUUUAUUAGACGUGACCAUCAUAUCGGAUUGUGCCU